rnacentral:tRNA from 1 species
UUAAUUGAAACCAAAUUAGAGGUUUAUCACUGUUAAUGAUAACAAUGGGACAAGAUCCCCAAUUAAG